AAAGUAUGGUGAGGACAUUUCCUAUCAUUUCCUUAAAUCUCUCCUAACUGCCAUAAAUUAAUUCUCCUUCAAAAUGUGUAAAAGAAGUGAUAUGGUUUCUAAGUUU